CUUGUCGACGGAUGUCUGGGUGGUGUUGAAAAGUGCGCUUCGGACCUGUUAGAGAACCGUCCACUCCUCCAACCUGUCCCUACAGCUGCUCCCUGCCAAGCAUCCCGAGUUACAAAUAUACAACAACAACAAAAAACGGGGGGGAAAGAGGAUAUUCCGGCUUUAUUACUCGCUGUGUUUCCCUGUCCCCCACUGCCGCCGCCUGCUAAAAGGUGAACGUUUGCAUUGAUGCCGAUCACCCGGCAUCAGCAUAUUCCCUUCAUCGUUUCAGCUCGGACUCCCCCUAUCUGGUCGUGAUAGGUCUUCUGGGCUGACUCUGACAGAAAUGGUGCUAGGAGGCUGGCCCAUUGCUCCUGGGGCCUGUUGAGUUGCUGUCCUCUCAACGGCUUGAGAGCGGAUGACACGCUGCAGCCUGCCCUUGUCCUUGGCUGUGGCUGCAGCGUACCAGACGGUGAUGGAGGAGCAGAGGAUGGACUCGAUGAUGGCCGUGUAAAAGUGCACCAUCAUCGUCUUUGGCAGGUUGAAUUUCUUCAGCUGCCUGAGGAAGAACAACCUCUGCUGCUUAUUGGUGAUGGAGCUGAUGUUCAGCUCCCACUUGAGGUCCUGGGUGAUGAUGGAGCCCAGGAAACGGAAGGAAUCCACAAUAGUGACGGGGGAGUCGCACAGAGUAAUGGGGGAAGGUGGGGCUCUGUUCCUCCGGAAAUCCAC
ensembl:lncRNA